rnacentral:rRNA from 1 species
CACGUAGGGUGCGAGCGUUGUCCGGAAUUAUUGGGCGUAAAGAGCUCGUAGGCGGUGUGUCGCGUCGGCCGUGAAAACCUGCAGCUUAACUGUGGGCUUGCGGUCGAUACGGGCAGACUAGAGUCCGGCAGGGGAGACUGGAAUUCCUGGUGUAGCGGUGAAAUGCGCAGAUAUCAGGAGGAACACCGGUGGCGAAGGCGGGUCUCUGGGCCGGAACUGACGCUGAGGAGCGAAAGCGUGGGGAGCGAACAGG